ACGCUUCACUUCGGUGAAGAGUGGCGAACGGGUGAGUAAUACAUAAGUAACCUGGCAUCUACAGGGGGAUAACUGAUGGAAACGUCAGCUAAGACCGCAUAGGUGUAGAGAUCGCAUGAACUCUAUAUGAAAAGUGCUACGGGACUGGUAGAUGAUGGACUUAUGGCGCAUUAGCUUGUUGGUAGGGUAACGGCCUACCAAGGCGACGAUGCGUAGCCGACCUGAGAGGGUGACCGGCCACACUGGGACUGAGACACGGCCCAGACUCCUACGGGAGGCAGCAGUAGGGAAUUUUCGGCAAUGGGGGAAACCCUGACCGAGCAACGCCGCGUGAAGGAAGAAGUAAUUCGUUAUGUAAACUUCUGUCAUAGAGGAAGAACGGUGGAUAUAGGGAAUGAUAUCCAAGUGACGGUACUCUAUAAGAAAGCCACGGCUAACUACGUGCCAGCAGCCGCGGUAAUACGUAGGUGGCGAGCGUUAUCCGGAAUUAUUGGGCGUAAAGAGGGAGCAGGCGGCACUAAGGGUCUGUGGUGAAAGAUCGAAGCUUAACUUCGGUAAGCCAUGGAAACCGUAGAGCUAGAGUGUGUGAGAGGAUCGUGGAAUUCCAUGUGUAGCGGUGAAAUGCGUAGAUAUAUGGAGGAACACCAGUGGCGAAGGCGACGAUCUGGCGCAUAACUGACGCUCAGUCCCGAAAGCGUGGGGAGCAAAUAGGAUUAGAUACCCUAGUAGUCCACGCCGUAAACGAUGAGUACUAAGUGUUGGGGGUCAAACCUCAGUGCUGCAGUUAACGCAAUAAGUACUCCGCCUGAGUAGUACGUUCGCAAGAAUGAAACUCAAAGGAAUUGACGGGGGCCCGCACAAGCGGU
rnacentral:rRNA from 1 species